GGAGGAGUGGCAGAGUGGUCGAUUGCGCCGGUCUUGAAAACCGGUAGGCCCGCAAGGGUCUCGUGAGUUCGAAUCUCACCUCCUCCG
rnacentral:tRNA from 1 species